rnacentral:lncRNA from 1 species
UCCUAUUCACCUUUAAGUUUCAUAUAAGUCUCAAGUCAAUACUCACUUUAGUAGUGGUUCAUUCUUGACUCUUAAACCUUAUUUCCAUUCCACCCUCAACUAUUUGCUUAAUUAUCUUGUUACUUUUACUACUGAACCUUACAUCUUUCACCCUUUAUACCAAUUCAAAACCCUUUGUUUAAAGCUUAUUCUUAACCAAUUUUAGCUUACUUUAAU